CCUAAAUAUCGAACACUUAAUGUGCCGCAAGGCCUAAAAAAUCAAAUACAACUUUUAACAACGGAUCUCUUGGCUCUCGCAUCGAUGAAGAACGCAGCGAAUUGCGAUAAGUAAUGUGAAUUGCAGAAUUCAGUGAAUCAUCGAAUCUUUGAACGCACCUUGCGCUCCCUGGCAUUCCGGGGAGCACGCCUGUUCGAGUAUCGUGAAAUCUUCAAACCGGAUAGGCUUUGCUGUUUAUCUUGGGCUUGGAUGUGGACUCUGCUGUUGUGCAAACGACAGCUGGUCUUAAACAUAUUAGCUGAAUCUUGGUCUAUGGAACUGGGUUCUACUCGGCGUGAUAAUUAUCUUAUCGCUGAGGACACUCCUUUGCAAAAGGGGGUGGCCCGUUUUAACCUCGAGUCGCUUCUAAUCUGGCGAAGCUAGACUUUACCGUCUAGUUUCCCGCUUUUUUCAACCUUUGAUCUCGAAUCAGGUGGGACUACCCGCUGAACUUAAGCAUAUCAAUAAGCGGAGGA
rnacentral:rRNA from 1 species